UACAGAGGUCUCAAGCGUUGUUCGGAUUCAUUGGGCGUAAAGGGUGCGUAGGUGGCGAGGCAAGUCAGAUGUGAAAUCCCGGGGCUCAACCCCGGAACUGCAUUUGAAACUGCCUUGCUCGAGUACUGGAGAGGAGGCUGGAAUUUACGGUGUAGCAGUGAAAUGCGUAGAUAUCGUAAGGAAGACCAGUGGCGAAGGCGAGUCUCUGGACAGUUACUGACACUGAGGCACGAAGGCCAGGGGAGCAAACGGG
rnacentral:rRNA from 1 species